rnacentral:lncRNA from 1 species
CUCAUGAGUGUAAACCUGAUGGGUAUGAAAUCUGUCAUGAUGGAAAGGUCAUUACUGUAUUUUCUGCUUCUAAUUAUUAUGAAGAAGGCAGCAACCGAGGAGCUUACAUCAGACUAAGUUAUGGUACAUCUCCACAAUUUUUCCAGUACCAAGUGACUAGUACAUCAUGCCUGAACCCUCUUUACCAAAGGGUGAAUGCUAUGGAAUUCAGUGCCUUCAGGAUACUAAAGGAAAGAAUGAUUGCAAGAAAAACUGACCUUAUCAAUGCUUUUGAGCUCCGAGAUCACAGUAGGACAGGAAAGAUUUCAUUGGCCCAGUGGGCUUUUUCUAUGGAGAGCAUUUUGGGGCUGAACUUACCGUGGAGAUCUCUGAGUUCGCAUCUGGUAAGCACUGACUCCAGCGGAAGCGUCGACUACAUGUCCAGCUUUGAUGACAUCCACAUUGAGAAGCCGAUGAAAGAUAUGAAGUCUGAUCUCAUUGAAACUAUGUACAGAUACCGAUCUGACCUGAAAAUCAUAUUUAAUAUCAUCGACACCGAUCAGUCAGGU